rnacentral:rRNA from 1 species
UACGUAGGGUGCGAGCGUUAAUCGGAAUUACUGGGCGUAAAGCGUGCGCAGGCGGUUUUGUAAGCCAGAUGUGAAAUCCCCGGGCUUAACCUGGGAAUGGCAUUUGGGACUGCAAGGCUUGAGUGCGGCAGAGGAGACUGGAAUUCCUGGUGUAGCAGUGAAAUGCGUAAAUAUCAGGAGGAACACCGAUGGCGAAGGCAGGUCUCUGGGCUGACACUGACGCUCAUGCACGAAAGCGUGGGGAGCAAACAGG